UACGGAGGGUGCGAGCGUUGUCCGGAAUCAUUGGGCGUAAAGCGCGCGUAGGUGGCCAUUUAAGUCCGCUGUGAAAGUCAAAGGCUCAACCCUUGAAAGCCGGUGGAUACUGGAUGGCUAGAGUACGGAAGAGGCGAGUGGAAUUCCUGGUGUAGCGGUGGAAUGCGCAGAUAUCAGGAGGAACACCAAUAGCGAAGGCAGCUCGCUGGGACGUUACUGACACUGAGGCGCGAAAGCGUGGGGAGCGAACAGG
rnacentral:rRNA from 1 species